CGCGAGUAUUCAGAGUUUGAUCCUGGCUCAGGACGAACGCUGGCGGCGUGCCUAAUACAUGCAAGUCGAGCGAAUGAAGAGAGAAGCUUGCUUCUCUCGGAUUUAGCGGCGGACGGGUGAGUAACACGUGGGUAACCUACCUUAUAGAUUGGGAUAACUCCGGGAAACCGGGGCUAAUACCGAAUAAUACUUUUAAACACAUGUUUGGAAGUUGAAAGACGGUUUCGGCUGUCACUAUAAGAUGGACCCGCGGCGCAUUAGCUAGUUGGUGAGGUAACGGCUCACCAAGGCCACGAUGCGUAGCCGACCUGAGAGGGUGAUCGGCCACACUGGGACUGAGACACGGCCCAG
rnacentral:rRNA from 1 species